AAGGAAUAUUGGACAAUGGUCGCAAGACUGAUCCAGCCAUGCCGCGUGCAGGAAGACGGCCCUAUGGGUUGUAAACUGCUUUUGUACCAGAGAAAACCUAUCUACGUGUAGAUAGCUGAUAGUAUGGUAAGAAUAAGCAUCGGCUAACUUCGUGCCAGCAGCCGCGGUAAGACGAAGGAUGCAAGCGUUAUCCGGAUUCAUUGGGUUUAAAGGGUGCGUAGGCGGGCUUGUAAGUCAGUGGUGAAAUCUCUCAGCUUAACUGAGAAACUGCCAUUGAUACUGCAGGCCUAGAGUAUAGAUGACGUUGGCGGAAUAUGACAUGUAGUGGUGAAAUACUUAGAUAUGUCAUAGAACACCGAUUGCGAAGGCAGCUAACGAGACUAUAACUGACGCUGAGGCACGAAAGUGCGGGGAUCAAACA
rnacentral:rRNA from 1 species